AGUCAGUCAGAAACUUUUCAACAGCUAUUUUGUAUAAACAACAAACUAUUCAGUUAAAUCUAUGAUUUGUAGUUCACAAAAUCAAUUGCUCUUACCAUCAAUGGCUUUAUAAUCCUUUAUUUUCUGUUUCUACUUUAAUGACCUUAUUGUAUGCAUCACUAUUUCAAUUCAAAUUACCUUUAGGAGGUAUGAACUAGAUAUAAGUAAUCUUUAACACACAUAUUUUUAGGACAGAGGCUCGCUCUGUUGCCCAGGACAGAGUACAGUAGUGAAAUCAUGGCUCACUCCAGCCUCAACCUCCUGGGUUCAAAUGAUCCUCCCACCAUGCCUAGCUAAUUUUAUUUAUUUGUAGAGAUGGGGUCUCACCAUGUUGCCAGGCUGGUCUCAAAAGUCCUGGCCUCGAGUGAUCCAUCUUGGUCUCUCAGAGUGCUGGGAUUACAAGCAUAAGCCACUGUGCCCAGCCUUGAUUUCAUUUCAUAGUGAAAACUUCAUUCUAAAGUCAAGGAUUUUAUCCUAAGCUGCUGAAGGAUUAUGUUAAAAUAAUGUUAUGUUUUCAGUAUAGCCAGUAGCCACAACGGAUUGCCUUCUGAUUAAAAGACAGAUCCUACAUGUUGGUGCGGCUGACACUCAUUCUACAUGCUUUCAGAUUUAAAAAACUUAGUGCAGAGGUGUAGGAAGCUGCCUCAGCUAUUCUGUUUGGUUUCACGAAGACCUGGAGUCAUUGCUCAUCAUUGUUCAGGAUAAAAAGGCAGCUCUGGAGACCCAACACUAACUCUAGUAGUUUUCCAUUUUCCUGUGCAUCCACUUUGGGGGUUGCAUUUAUCUGCCUCUCUCUGGGUCUGGUCUCUGCUUCUGGUUUCUGCAUAUUUGAGAUCAGGCCACGCCAUGGACCACUGGCCUCCCCUAGCAUUUCCAGUGGCAUUCCCAGCCAGGAAUAAGGCUGUCUUUGUCUCCAUCUUACAAUCCCAGUCUAAAGCAAGAUUCCCUACAGAGCAUGGCCACCCUGGGGCAAGCACCUGCUAGGGCAGUUUAUUCAAAAGGGAGCAGCUGGCAAUAGCAGGAACCCACAUUUCCACCUACUUCCCACAGUACACCAAAGCCUCUCAUAUCCAUUAUAUAAUGAGCUACAAUGAAAGUCUUCCCACCUUUGUUGCAUUCUUGGAUGCUCUUCUCUCCUGUAUGAAUUGAGGGGUUCCUCUCCAGUAGAAUUUGUGAGAUAGUGACUGAGAAGCUAGCUCACACUGAAAGCCUGCCCACAUUCCUUUAACUUAUACUUCCUAUCCAUAAUGUGAACAACCUAAUGUCUAAUAAGGGUUGAGCUCUGGCUGAAGCAUUUCCCACAUACACUACAUGCAUGUGGCUUCUCUACAGAAUGUGUUCUGUGGCAAUGAAUCAAGUGUGACAUCUGAAUAAAGCCUCUCCCACAUGACACACACAUAAGUUUUCUCUCCAGUGUGUAUUCUUUGAUGAUCAAUCAGGUGUGAUGUUUGAAGCCCCUUCCACACUCACUGCAUUUGUAGGGCUUCUCUCAAGCAUGCUUCCUUUGAUUAUGAAUCACGUGUGAUGGCUGACUGAAGCUUUUUCCACACUCUUGACAUUCAAAAAGUUUCUCUCCUGUAUGAAUUCUCUGAUAUUGCAUG
rnacentral:lncRNA from 10 species